rnacentral:rRNA from 1 species
AUUGAACGCUGGCGGCAUGCCUUACACAUGCAAGUCGAACGGCAGCACGGGGCAACCUGGUGGCGAGUGGCGAACGGGUGAGUAAUGCAUCGGAACGUACCUUUCAGUGGGGGAUAACGUAGCGAAAGUUACGCUAAUACCGCAUAUUCUGUGAGCAGGAAAGCAGGGGAUCGCAAGACCUUGCGCUGAUUGAGCGGCCGAUGUCAGAUUAGCUAGUUGGUGAGGUAAAGGCUCACCAAGGCGACGAUCUUUAGCGGGUCUGAGAGGAUGAUCCGACACGCUGGAACUGGGACACGGUCCAGACUCCUAAGGGAGGCAGCAGUGGGGAAUUUUGGACAAUGGGGUCAACCCUGAUCCAGCCAUGCCGCGUGAGUGAAGAAGGCCUUCGGGUUGUAAAGCUCUUUCGGCCGGGAAGAAAUCGCACGGGCUAAUACCCUGUGUGGAUGACGGUACCGGAAUAAGAAGCACCGGCUAACUACGUGCCAGCCGCCGCAGUAAGAC